rnacentral:rRNA from 1 species
GCUUGCUGGGGGAUUAGUGGCGAACGGGUGAGUAACACGUGAGUAACCUGCCCUUAACUCUGGGAUAAGCCUGGGAAACUGGGUCUAAUACCGGAUAUGACUCCUCAUCGCAUGGUGGGGGGUGGAAAGCUUUAUUGUGGUUUUGGAUGGACUCGCGGCCUAUCAGCUUGUUGGUGAGGUAAUGGCUCACCAAGGCGACGACGGGUAGCCGGCCUGAGAGGGUGACCGGCCACACUGGGACUGAGACACGGCCCAGACUCCUACGGGAGGCAGCAGUGGGGAAUAUUGCACAAUGGGCGAAAGCCUGAUGCAGCGACGCCGCGUGAGGGAUGACGGCCUUCGGGUUGUAAACCUCUUUCAGUAGGGAAGAAGCGAAAGUGACGGUACCUGCAGAAGAAGCGCCGGCUAACUACGUGCCAGCAGCCGCGGUAAUACGUAGGGCGCAAGCGUUAUCCGGAAUUAUUGGGCGUAAAGAGCUCGUAGGCGGUUUGUCGCGUCUGCCGUGAAAGUCCGGGGCUCAACUCCGGAUCUGCGGUGGGUACGGGCAGACUAGAGUGAUGUAGGGGAGACUGGAAUUCCUGGUGUAGCGGUGAAAUGCGCAGAUAUCAGGAGGAACACCGAUGGCGAAGGCAGGUCUCUGGGCAUUAACUGACGCUGAGGAGCGAAAGCAUGGGGAGCGAACAGGAUUAGAUACCCUGGUAGUCCAUGCCGUAAACGUUGGGCACUAGGUGUGGGGGACAUUCCACGUUUUCCGCGCCGUAGCUAACGCAUUAAGUGCCCCGCCUGGGGAGUACGGCCGCAAGGCUAAAACUCAAAGGAAUUGACGGGGGCCCGCACAAGCGGCGGAGCAUGCGGAUUAAUUCGAUGCAACGCGAAGAACCUUACCAAGGCUUGACAUGAACCGGAAACACCUGGAAACAGGUGCCCCGCUUGCGGUCGGUUUACAGGUGGUGCAUGGUUGUCGUCAGCUCGUGUCGUGAGAUGUUGGGUUAAGUCCCGCAACGAGCGCAACCCUCGUUCUAUGUUGCCAGCGCGUUAUGGCGGGGACUCAUAGGAGACUGCCGGGGUCAACUCGGAGGAAGGUGGGGACGACGUCAAAUCAUCAUGCCCCUUAUGUCUUGGGCUUCACGCAUGCUACAAUGGCCGGUACAAAGGGUUGCGAUACUGUGAGGUGGAGCUAAUCCCAAAAAGCCGGUCUCAGUUCGGAUUGGGGUCUGCAACUCGACCCCAUGAAGUCGGAGUCGCUAGUAAUCGCAGAUCAGCAACGCUGCGG